UACGUAGGGCGCAAGCGUUAUCCGGAAUUAUUGGGCGUAAAGAGCUCGUAGGCGGUUUGUCGCGUCUGCCGUGAAAGUCCGGGGCUCAACUCCGGAUCUGCGGUGGGUACGGGCAGACUAGAGUGAUGUAGGGGAGACUGGAAUUCCUGGUGUAGCGGUGAAAUGCGUAGAUAUCAGAAGGAACACCCAUGGCGAAGGCAGCUCGCUGGCCUACAACUGACGCUGAGGCGCGAAAGCGUGGGGAGCAAACAGG
rnacentral:rRNA from 1 species